UACAGAGGGUGCGAGCGUUGUUCGGAAUUAUUGGGCGUAAAGGGCGCGUAGGCGGUGCGGUAAGUCACCUGUGAAAUCUCCUGGCUCAACUGGGAGCUUGCAGGCGAAACUGCCGUGCUGGAGUGUGGGAGAGGUGCGUGGAAUUCCCGGUGUAGCGGUGAAAUGCGUAGAUAUCGUAAGGAAGACCAGUGGCGAAGGCGGGUCUCUGGACAGUUCCUGACGCUGAGGCACGAAGGUCAGGGGAGCAAACGGG
rnacentral:rRNA from 1 species